AGCAGCCGCGGUAAUUCCAGCUCCAAUAGCGUAUAUUAAAGUUGCUGCAGUUAAAAAGCUCGUAGUUGAAUUUCGGGACCAUCAUGUCGGUCGUGCCUCGGUACGUACUGGCAUUGUUGGUUUCUCCCUUCUGACGAACCAUGAUGUCAUUUAUUUGGUGUUGUGGGGAAUCAGGACUGUUACUUUGAAAAAAUUAGAGUGUUUAAAGCAGGCUCACGCUUGAAUACAUUAGCAUGGAAUAAUGAAAUAGGACGUUUGAUUCUAUUUUGUUGGUUUCUAGGAUCGACGUAAUGAUUAAUAGGGAUAGUUGGGGGCAUUAGUAUUCAAUUGUCAGAGGUGAAAUUCUUGGAUUUAUUGAAGACUAACUACUGCGAAAGCAUUUGCCAAGGAUGUUUUCAUUAAUCAAGAACGAAAGUUAGGGGAUCGAAGACGAUCAGAUACCGUCGUAGU
rnacentral:rRNA from 1 species